CGCAAGCCUGACGGAGCAACGCCGCGUGUGGGAAGAGGGCUCUUGGGCUGUCAACCACUUUUCUCAGGGAAGAAGCCCUGACGGUACCUGAGGAAUCAGCCUCGGCUAACUCCGUGCCAGCAGCCGCGGUAAUACGGAGGAGGCAAGCGUUAUCCGGAAUUAUUGGGCGUAAAGCGUCCGCAGGGGGCACAUCAAGUCUGCUGUUAAAGGCUGGAGCUUAAUUCCGGUAGAGCAGUGGAAACUGGUGUGCUAGAGGGCGACAGGGGUAGAGGGAAUUCCCAGUGCAGCGGUGAAAUGCGUAGAGAUUGGGAAGAACACCGGUGGCGAAAGCGCUCUACUGGGUCGCACCUGGCCCUCAGGGACGAAAGCUAAGGUAGCG
rnacentral:rRNA from 1 species